AUUGAACGCUGGCGGCAGGCCUAACACAUGCAAGUCGAACGAGUGGCGGACGGGUGAGUGAUGUCUGGGAAACUGCCCGACGGAGGGAUAUGACUACUGGAACCGGUAGCUAAUACUGCAAACCGUCGUAUGUGCCCUGAUGGGAUUAGCUAGUGGGUGGGGUAACGGCGCACCUAGGCGACGAUGCCUAGCUGGUCUGAGAGGAGGACCAGCCACACUGGAACUGAGACACGGUCCAGACUCCUACGGGAGGCAGCAGUGGGGAAUAUUGGACAAUGGGCGCAAGCCUGAUGCAGCCAUGCCGCGUGUAUGAAGAAGGUCUUCGGGUUGUAAAGUACUUUAAGCGGGGAGGCGGUACUCACAGAAGAAGCACCGGCUAACUCCGUGCCAGCAGCCGCGGUAAUAC
rnacentral:rRNA from 1 species